rnacentral:rRNA from 1 species
GAUGAACGCUGGCGGCGUGCCUAACACAUGCAAGUCGAACGGAGAUUAUUGACGGAAGUUUUCGGAUGGAAGACGGUAAUCUUAGUGGCGGACGGGUGAGUAACGCGUGGGUAACCUGCCCCGUACAGGGGGAUAGCGUCGGGAAACUGACGGUAAGACCGCAUAGGACCACAUAUUCGCAUGGAUAAGUGGUGAAAAGGGAAACCUGGUAUGGGAUGGACCCGCGUCCGAUUAGCCAGUUGGCAGGGUAAAGGCCUACCAAAGCUUCGAUCGGUAGCCGGACUGAGAGGUCGGACGGCCACAUUGGGACUGAGACACGGCCCAGACUCCUACGGGAGGCAGCAGUGGGGGAUAUUGCACAAUGGAGGAAACUCUGAUGCAGCGACGCCGCGUGAGUGAAGAAGUGCUCCGGCAUGUAAAGCUCUUUCAGCAGGGAAGAUGAUGACGGUACCUGAAUAAGAAGCCCCGGCUAACUACGUGCCAGCAGCCGCGGUAAUACGUAGGGGGCAAGCGUUAUCCGGAUUUACUGGGUGUAAAGGGAGCGCAGGCGGUCUGGCAAGUUGAGAGUGGAAGCAGGGGGCUCAACCCCCUGACUGCUCCCAAAACUGUUGGACUGGAGUAUGGGAGAGGCAGGCGGAAUUCCUAGUGUAGCGGUGAAAUGCUCAGAUAUUAGGAAGAACACCGGUGGCGAAGGCGGCCUGCUGGACCAAAACUGACGCUGAGGCUCGAGAGCGUGGGGAGCGAACAGG